UCUCUCUGGGGCAGCUGGGGGAAUUUGUGCGAAUUGAAGAAAAUCUUAGAUCAGCUUCCUUACACCUUUAUACUGAUAGAGCAGAAGUCAGGUUAAGGUUCAGGAGUAAUGGAGUGUUUGAGAAAUGACUGUGAUUGCUCAAUUGACUUGGCACUGGCCACAGUAGGGCUAAGGGGUCCCUCUGCCUUGCUUAGAGAGAGAAGUGAUGCAUGCUGUGUGGAUAGAGUCACCUCAGGUCCUUCUGGCUUCAGCAACUUCCCAUGUGAAAAAAGAGGCUGUGACAGAAAUCCAAACUGAGGGGACAGAUGCUGGUGCAGUGGUAAUGCAACACUCUGAAGGUUGUCCCCAUGGGAAGUUUCCAGGUUCACAUCCAGAGACUUCCCUGAACACGGCAGGCAUGAGAAAGCCCAUGAUCUAAGGCCAGCAGAAAACUUUAUCUUCUUCUGACAGAAAACAUGGACUUGACUAAGGAAGGAGGAGUUUCUCACGGCCGGAUAAUAUGGCCACCCUCUGUCAUGGCAAGGGACCCUUUCUGCUGGCAUUCGAGCUUUCAGAUGGUGUGCUUGGGUGCUCCUCAGUGGUACUGGGAAGACAGAUGCAGACUGUCCUGGUGGUCUCAGGAUUUCUUCCUCAUGGGGUGAGGGCUGGUGAAUGGAGCCCUGGAAGCUGAUGAGAAGAAAAAACAAACAUUUUAAAUGUCCCAAGGAACAGCUAAGACCACAUGACUGAGGUCACAAGCCCAUUCCAGUGCCAAUAUCGCUGGACAGAUGGAUGUGAUGCCCAGCCUGGCCAGUCUGAUUCUUGUGCUCACCCUCGUGGCCAGAGAGUUGCAGAGAAUGCAAGGAAGGAUGAACAACCAAAUAAUGAACGGGAGAAAAGGGUACCUCAACAACAAUUCAACCCAGGAAGAGAAUCUGCUUCUUUGUUAUGUUCUAUUAUGGGACCAUGAACUGAACACAAGAAUAUGAAGGCAAUCUGAUGACUGUUAGGAGUAAUAAAGAACAAUAAAGAACAAUUACCCUGAUCAACCUUCUAAGACACCACUCUCUGCUGAAGGCCAACAGGACCCAGCUCCCAACUACCAAUUUUACUUCAACCUCCUGACACGACUGUGUGGAGACAGAGACAUCAAGAGAGAGAGACAUCCUUUACAGGUUCUUCCUGCCAUUAUCUGCUGUCCUCAGUCAGCCAGGACCACAGGACGUGUGUGUGCAUGCCUUGCAUGUCCAUGUCCAGGGAGACCACAGGAUGUGAACCUGGGACCUUCCUGGGUGGCACAGUGGAGCACUGUGUUCCUACUGCACCACUGCAACUGGCCUUGACCUUUAUCAUUUUAUUUCAAACCUAUUCUAGAGUCUCUUACUGAGUAUCUCAAGUUUGUCCUCUGGAAUGCUGAUUUGACAUAAAUUUAACUAAUUAUGCAAUUGUGAGAUUGCAGAAUGGAAGUAAAGGUCAAAAGUUUAUUUAGGGUGGGUAGGUGGUGUGGCAGUUAGGGUGGCUGGAUCCCACAUAGCCAGAUGAGUGGUGUGAGUCCCAGACUCAG